rfam:Rhizoctonia solani AG-1 IB, isolate 7/3/14, WGS project CAOJ01000000 data, contig: 21413
GGCCGCCUGGCGAAAUGGUAUCGCGUCUGACUACGACGUUGUAUUUAUCAGGAGAUUGCAGGUUCGAGCCCUGCGGUGGUCA